rnacentral:rRNA from 1 species
UACGGAGGGGGCUAGCGUUGUUCGGAAUUACUGGGUGUAAAGGGUUCGUAGGCGGUGCGGCAAGUCGGGAGUGAAAUCUCUGGGCUUAACCCAGAGGCUGCUUCCGAAACUGCUGUGCUUGAGUGUGGGAGAGGCGCGUGGAAUUGCAGGUGUAGCGGUGAAAUGCGUAGAUAUCUGCAGGAACACCCGUGGCGAAAGCGGCGCGCUGGACCACUACUGACGCUGAGUGAACGAAAGCUAGGGGAGCAAACAGG